GGAGCCACAGGAGGCAGAGCCACAGGAGGAGGAGGAAAUGGAGGAGGAGGAGAAACAGGAGGUGGCAGAGGAGAGCAGCGAUGGGUCAGAUGCAUCGUGGAAGCCACCUAAAGGCAGUUACCAAAGCUCUAGCGCCGGGACAGAGUCCUCGGAGGAGAGCGAAGCAGAUUCAGUUCCUGGCACCAAGAGUCUUGGCCGAGGGACUGCUGCUGCGCCGAGGAACCGAGGGCGUCCUGGUCUCACCACGCACAAAGGACAAACCAAAACCACCACAAAGAAGAGGGAAGAACGUGAGCCGAACAGAAAUCCCAGCAGCACCGGCACUCCGUCCAGGACCGGCACUCCGUCCAGGACCGGCACGAGCGGCUCUCCUGCCUCGGCACAACCGCCGCAGGGAAACACAGGUAAAUCCUCGGUGGUGCCGGCCUCCUCCAACCCGGCCACCCGGACCCCCUCACAGCUCUCUCAGGAGCCCGUCAAGGUGGGCAUGGUGGUUCUGGCCCGGAAAAGUACAGAGAACUGGCAACAGAGCAAGAUCCUUGAGAUCAAAUCAGCUGACAAUGACAACAGAGAUAAGUAUAAGGUGGAUUUGAAAGGGAAGGGAAGCUGGCUGCCCGGACACCACAUUGCGUUUGACCACACUCCUUCGCUGGGCAGCUUGUACGUUGGGGUACGCUUGCUGGCCAAGGGCCAGGAGGCCAACCAGUCAGAGUUCUCCUCCGGUACUCUUGCAGAACUGCCCAUCGUUAAGAACCGUAUGAGGUUUCUGGUGUUCCUCGACAAUGGAACGCCGUGUUACGUCGGUCUGCCUCGGCUUCGCUUGGUUUGCAGACCGUUGGAGAGCAUUAGCGAUGAAGACAUUGAGGAUAAGACGUACAAAGACUUCCUGGUGGAGUACCUGAGGGUGUACCCCUACACCCCCAUGGCUCAAUACCGCCUGGGGCAGCACAUCAACACCGAGCACAACGGCAUCCAGAAGAGAUGCCAAGUAGAGGCCAUCGACAGCAGCCUCAUACACAUCCUCUUCCAGGACGACCAGCACAAGGAGUGGCUGUAUAGAGGGUCUACGCGUCUGCAACACUUGGCCCAAAUGAAGAAACAAGCGUCAAAGGAGACUUCAGGGACUAACUCUGCGUUGCCUCAGAAAACGACUACCUCAGCCGUCUUAAAGCCCCGGAAGUAUCGGAAGAUCUUGUCGUCCAGCUCUUCCAGCCGGGCCUCUUCCAGUGCAGCGGCCCCGUCCAAACCUGCAAAAUGCUCUCCUCUCACCAGCACCGUCAUUCCGCCUCGUGCCUCGUCGACCCCCUACACCGUCCAUCGCUGCUGCCCCGCCUGCCUCGGCCCCAGGGGAGAGCACCGCGGAUGCAACCCCCUGUUCUUCCCUCUGCUCUGUGGCUUCAGCCGCAAGAAGGCCCGCUUAACUGUAGGGGACAAAAAAAAGAAGUCCUUCCACAUCUUCUACCGCUCCCCGUGCGGCGUGUCUCUGGCAAGCAUGCCCGUGCUGGAGGACUACCUGCACCAGACCCGCUGCGACUACCUCUCCAUCAAAAUGUUCUGCCUGGACCCCUCUGUGUCCGUCACCACCACCUUACAGGCCACCGAGGCCAAGAUCUUCAUCCCGGACCUGAGCCAGGGCCACGAGGCGCAGCCUCUGUCCUGCAUCAAUGAGCUGCACAAUAACCGUCCGCGUGGGAUCUUCUCCUACAUCAGGCAGCAGGUGGGGGACGGAGCAGUCAGCAUCAACACCAGCCCGGACUUCCUGGUGGGCUGCGACUGCACGGACGGCUGCAGGGACAGGACCAGCUGCUCCUGUCACCAGCUGACGGUGGAGGCCACGGCGCUGGAGGCUGGUGGGAUUGUGGACGUCAACGCUGGCUACUCCCACAUGAGACUGGAGAAGCGUCUGCCGACAGGGGUGUACGAGUGUAACUCUCUGUGUCGCUGUGACCCACGCUUCUGCUCAAACCGGGUGGUGCAGCACGGGCUGCAGGUGCGCCUGCAGGUGUUCAUGACCCAGAGGAUGGGCUGGGGCGUGCGUUGUCUUGACGACGUGGCCAUGGGCUCCUUCAUCUGCUGCUACGCCGGCAAGGUGUUGACUAGCGAGGAGUUCAAGAACAACAUGUUGGACCUCUUCUGUGCCAAACUGAACCUCAUAGAGGGGGUUGAGACCCACAGUAAGGACGGCUACGAAAGCGAGGCCCCCUGCUCUGAGAACGAAACAGACGGAAGUGACUCCGAACAGGUGAGGGGAGGUGAGGAUCGAGCCGGCUCUGACCGCGACACCAACCGCAACUCUGACGUGGAAUAUCGGUCUGACGUCUCCUCUCUGAAGAGGAGCUACGUCACGCGCAGCAACAACAAACUCUUACAGGAAGGCCCAGAGAAGGAGGCUGAGUCAGAGGACAAAUCUCCUGGCCGGCCAACUGACAAAAACAACAAAGAAGAAGGUUCUUCGACCACCAGAAGGUUCUUCGAAGAUGAGAAGACCUCCUAUGUCAUCAGUUCUAAAGCGGCGGGAAAUGUGGCUCGCUUUUUCAACCACAGCUGUUCCCCUAACCUGUUUGGUCAGAAUGUAUUUGUGGACAACCAUGAUCUUCGCUUCCCCUGGAUAGCCUUCUUUGCCAAAAAGCGCAUCAAGGCUGGUUCAGAAUUGACUUGGGACUACAGGUCACAGAUUGGUGCACUGAAUGAAAGUGUUGUGAAAUGUUUCUGCGGCUCCCCAAAAUGCACGGGAAAAAUAUGAUAGUCCAACUGUACAUAAAUGAAAUACAUUUUAGUAUCGUUUUAUUUUUUACACAUUUCAAAUAAAACAUAUUUGUAUCUUGAUGUCAUAUUAAUGCUGUGAUACAAUUUUAUCCGAACGUAUAUGCAGAGUUACUUAAAUAAAUGUAUAAUGUGCAUACAAUCUGAAGUAAAUUAGACUGAUGUGUCGGUACAACGCAGUUGUGAAGACUGGUUGUUUACGUGCAGAGCGCACAUUUUCUACGACGGGGGAGGAGCAGCGAAGCAAGUCCACUCACAACCAGGCAGCUAGCUGGCUAGCUAGGAUUUUUUUUUGUAAAUUUGCUAGCUUGCCAGAACACGAAAACAAGAAUCGAAGCGCCAACACGGAUUUCUUGUGGGACAAACGCACAGGCCUCGCUGCUAGAACGAUGCCUCACUCGAGACGGUUUCCGUCUUCGGAGCGAGCCAGCCGGAGCAGCUUCCAGGACCGGUAUCGGGAGAGAGACAGAGACCGGGG